GCCCUGUUCUCCCGUCCUGAGGGUUAAUUCCUUGCUCGUUUCCGUGGCAUCUGUCGGGCUCAGGGGAGUGUACACGGGCAGGAGGGUGUGAGCCCUGUGUCCACUGGGUAACCUUGGAAUCACCUCUUCAAGCCUCAGUUUCCUCACUUGUAAAAUGGAACAGAUUAUCAUUGUUUUGCAAAGUGUGUGGGAUCAAAUAAGAGAACCUGCAGAGAGACCUUUCCCAGAACAGAUGUGAAAUGCCUCUUAGUUCUCCCAGGAAAGCCCUGGGAUGGCCCGUGGGCAGCAAGGCGGCUGCCAGGAGAGAAGGGCACUGGGCUGGCAGCGGGUACCGUCUUCCCCGUCCCUAAGGGAGCACGUCCUCAGACCGCAGAGGAACAGCAUGGAGCUCGACGGAAAACAAUGAGAGGAGCCAGCAGGGAGGUGGCCCCGAUGCGCUGAGUGAGUUCUGUGGAGAAGCGACAUGGAGGAGAGCCAGAGAGAAAUAGCCUUGGCACGCUGCAGUGCCCACAGUGGACAGAAGAAAUGACCACCAGAAAGUGAAAGCAGCUGGGGGACGGAGACAGCAUCAAAGGAGCUCGAUGGCCCCACAGCUCCUUCCGGACCUCGCCAUCGGCAUCUUCCAGCAUUUGAGAUGUGCCGAUCUGUCGGCCGUGGCCUGCAGGGGCUCAGGGGCUGCUUGCCUGGGUGCAGGGCCCAAGGGCCUGGAGUCAGGACGCUGCACAUGUGGAGAGGGGAGCUGGGCCCAGGGUGGCUGUGUGACCUCGAGUGCAGCCCUCCUCCUCCUCCUCCUCUCUGAGCCUCAGUUUCCCCUCUGUGUACAGAGGCCUAGGGCAGCACCCUGAGCCCUGCCCACUCUUGGGGCUCCGCAGACAAGCGAACCAUUUGCAAGUCUUGUUCUGGGUCCCAGGGGGUGUCCCCCCUCCUGCCUGGUUGGCACCAGCCCGCCCGCCGGG